ensembl:lncRNA
UGUAAACUCCUUGCUGAUAGGAUAAGAGAUGUCACAAUGUUGACUUAUACUCUUCUUGUACUUAAACACAAAUAUGGAUUUAAUUCACCUCACGGGGUACAACAAAAAAUCCCCUUCAGUUUGAUGUCAGAAAUGAGAUUGCUGCUCACUGACAGAAGUGACUGCACUGGAAUUGGAGGGGAGACCCAAGAUGACACCAUCAUGAGAGAAUGCUGAAUGUAGCAGAGGAAUAUGAAACUAAGCAAUGAUUCAGCAAAGAAGGGCGAAAAUCAUCCUUGUUCCCCACAAGAAUUUAUGAUCAGUCACUGUUCAAUACUUGGAGUUCAUGUGAAUGCAUUCUGGGCCUUUCACAAUAUUUGUGUGACAUCUGGACCAAUUCAGUUUUUAAGUUCAAAGAAAGAAGAAUUCACAAGUGUGUUCAAUUUCCCUAUGAACUCCACAGAGAAGAGAAAUGACAUUUACACUUCAUUUCAUAUCUUUAUUACUGUCGCAAGGAUAAGUACACAGUUCUGUCUGUCAUUUUGUGUUGAAGGAAUUAAAGGAGAAGCAAACUUAUUCCUCUUGACCAUAAUUUAUAAGAAUGUGAAAGUCAUGAUCAGUGUGGCCACAUAAUUUUCCUCUUUCCUUUUGCCAUGCUGAAACAUCUUUCCUUGAAUGUUUGGCUUCUGUGGUUUGGGAGAAGUAUAGAGUAAGGAGAAGAAUAUUAAAGAGGGAGAUUCUCCUCCAUGGCACAGUCUCUUUGGAAUUUUUCAACAAACCCAAAUAUUCCCAUAACGUUUUCUAAUAAAAGAUGGAAGUCUUUAACAUAAACCACCUCUCUGCCACUGAAUUUGCAAAUUCGUUAUUUAUUAAAAAUUACAGUUGUGUGACAUGCAGUGCUACAAUGAACUGAGGCUGGACACUAUUUUCUGGCCUAUCCAGAUCUCUGAUUUCAUCUGUUUUUUUCACCUGUCCCUUCAUAAGUCUGUUAAAGAG